GAUGAACGCUGGCGGUAUGCUUAACACAUGCAAGUCGAACGGACUCUUCGGAGUUAGUGGCGGACGGGUGAGUAACGCGUGAGAAUCUGGCUUUGGGUUCGGGACAACCACUGGAAACGGUGGCUAAUACCGGAUGUGCCGAGAGGUAAAAGAGAAAUUGCCUGAAGAUGAGCUCGCGUCUGAUUAGCUAGUUGGUGAGGUAAAGGCUCACCAAGGCAGCGAUCAGUAGCUGGUCUGAGAGGAUGACCAGCCACACUGGGACUGAGACACGGCCCAGACUCCUACGGGAGGCAGCAGUGGGGAAUUUACCGCAAUGGGCGAAAGCCUGACGGAGCAAUACCGCGUGAGGGAAGAAGGCUCUUGGGUUGUAAACCUCUUUUCUUAGGGAAGAACAAAAUGACGGUACCUAAGGAAUCAGCAUCGGCUAACUCCGUG
rnacentral:rRNA from 1 species